rnacentral:rRNA from 1 species
UACGUAGGGUGCAAGCGUUGUCCGGAAUUAUUGGGCGUAAAGAGCUCGUAGGCGGUCUGUUGCGUCGGCUGUGAAAACCCGAGGCUCAACCUCGGGCCUGCAGCCGAUACGGGCAGACUAGAGUUCGGCAGGGGGAGACUGGAAUUCCUGGUGUAGCGGUGAAAAUGCGCAGAUAUCAGGGAGGGAACACCCGGUGGCGAA